rnacentral:tRNA from 1 species
AGAAAAUUAAGUUAAAGAAACUAUAAAACUUCAAAUUUUAAAUUAAUUGAAAUAAUUAUUUUCUA